CGCGAAUAGCUCAUUACAACAGCCAUAGUUUAUUGGAUGUUUACGUUCCUACAAGGACACCUGCGGUAAUUCUGGAGCUAAUACUUGCGAAAUGCGACAACCUCACGGGAGUCGUGCAUUUAUUAGAUUAAACCAAUCGGUCCUUCGGGACCGCCACUUGGUGAACUCUGAAUAACUUAGCUGAUCGCACAGUCUCGUACUGGCGACAAAUCUUUCAAGUGUCUGCCUUAUCAACUUUCGAUGGUAGUUUAUACGACUACCAUGGUUGUAACGGGUAACGGAGAAUAAGGGUUCGACUCCGGAGAGGGAGCCUGAGAAACGGCUACCACAUCCAAGGAAGGCAGCAGGCGCGCAAAUUACCCACUCGCAGAACGCGGAGGUAGUGACGAAAAAUAACGAGGUGGCUCUCUAUGAGGUCCAUCAUCGGAAUGGGUACAAUUUAAAUCCUUUAACGAGGAUCUAUUGGAGGGCAAGUCUGGUGCCAGCAGCCGCGGUAAUUCCAGCU
rnacentral:rRNA from 1 species